GGUUCAUUCAAAUUUCUGCCCUAUCAACUUUCGAUGGUAGGAUAUAGGCCUACCAUGGUUUCAACGGGUAACGGGGAAUUAGGGUUCUAUUCCGGAGAGGGAGCCUGAGAAACGGCUACCACAUCCAAGGAAGGCAGCAGGCGCGCAAAUUACCCAAUCCCGACCGGGGAGGUAGUGACAAUAAAUACUGAUACAGGGGACUUUUGUCUCUUGUAAUUGGAAUGAGUACAAUUUAAAUCUCUUAACGAGGAACAAUUGGAGGGCAAGUCUGGUGCCAGCAGCCGCGGUAAUUUCAGCUCCAAUAGCGUAUAUUAAAGUUGUUGCAGUUUAAAAGCUCGUAGUUG
rnacentral:rRNA from 1 species